rnacentral:rRNA from 1 species
UACGAAGGGGGCUAGCGUUGCUCGGAAUCACUGGGCGUAAAGGGUGCGUAGGUGGGCAGGUAAGUCAGUGGUGAAAUCUCCGGGCUUAACUCGGAAACUGCCGUUGAUACUAUCUGUCUUGAAUAUCGUGGAGGUUAGCGGAAUAUGUCAUGUAGCGGUGAAAUGCUUAGAUAUGACAUAGAACACCCAUUGCGAAGGCAGCUAACUACACGAUCAUUGACACUGAGGCACGAAAGCGUGGGGAGCGAACAGG